GCUGGGACGCAACACAAUAUAGAUAAUGAAUAACAAUAUUUACCUCUAUUAACAGGUGUGUAGGCGGAGCUAAAGACUCACCUGCAGACAGCAGAAAGACUUCCUGCUACACUCUCCGUGUUCUCAAGUGAGAGAGAAUGUUUCAUGCAGAACCUGUACCAGUAGCAGUACUAUUUCCUGGACUCUUCAACAUAAAUUGACUGUCUCUGGCAGCGGAUACAAGGUCCGCAAGCCACGCCCACCCCCCACAGCCACAGAAGAGGAAAACUGUCCUUUCCCGGGCAUGAUAAAGUCUUAAAUAAUGUCAAACACGUAGCGUUACAAUAACCAGGAAGAUAAAGUGUUUGUCUCACACCUACUAAUCA